CGCCGUUCAGUCGUUGGGUGUCCGUUGAGGAGGUAGUGCGCUUCUCUUGUGGCGCAGGUUUGAAGCAAGAACUUGCGGCUCGCGACGAAACUGGUCAGCGGCGGAGGAGGACGGAAGCGCGGCUGUCGGACUGAGAAUCAAGCGGCCAUCCGCGCUGGAAAUAUAGGUGGCCUGGCGUCGUCACUGAAGGAAAUCGCGGCGUCCGGCAGGCGAGGGGAGGCCGGCCACGACACAAUGACCGCCUGCCUAGGCAGAACGUGGGAGCACGGCUACAACCACCUCGCCGACAGCUGCAAUAGCCUGGACGCCAAUGGCAGCGACGAUGAGGCGGUAAGGCACGCGCCGCGCGCCCGCUCGGCCCCCUGUGUGCGGUGUGCGGUGUGCGGUGUGCUGUGUGCGGUGUGUCAUGGGAGCCAUCGGCGAUCGGUGCAGCGGGCGCAGAUCCUCCACAUCGCUGCCACGACUGUGGUGUUAUCCCGCGACAACACGCGCCUUUCUCGCAUCUCCGGUGCCGGUAGU